rnacentral:rRNA from 1 species
GAUGAACGCUGGCGGCGUGCCUAAUACAUGCAAGUCGAGCGAACGGACGAGAAGCUUGCUUCUCUGAUGUUAGCGGCGGACGGGUGAGUAACACGUGGAUAACCUACCUAUAAGACUGGGAUAACUUCGGGAAACCGGAGCUAAUACCGGAUAAUAUUUUGAACCGCAUGGUUCAAAAGUGAAAGACGGUCUUGCUGUCACUUAUAGAUGGAUCCGCGCUGCAUUAGCUAGUUGGUAAGGUAACGGCUUACCAAGGCAACGAUGCAUAGCCGACCUGAGAGGGUGAUCGGCCACACUGGAACUGAGACACGGUCCAGACUCCUACGGGAGGCAGCAGUAGGGAAUCUUCCGCAAUGGGCGAAAGCCUGACGGAGCAACGCCGCGUGAGUGAUGAAGGUCUUCGGAUCGUAAAACUCUGUUAUUAGGGAAGAACAUAUGUGUAAGUAACUGUGCACAUCUUGACGGUACCUAACCAGAAAGCCACGGCUAACUACGUGCCAGCAGCCGCGGUAAUACGUAGGUGGCAAGCGUUAUCCGGAAUUAUUGGGCGUAAAGCGCGCGUAGGCGGUUUUUUAAGUCUGAUGUGAAAGCCCACGGCUCAACCGUGGAGGGUCAUUGGAAACUGGAAAACUUGAGUGCAGAAGAGGAAAGUGGAAUUCCAUGUGUAGCGGUGAAAUGCGCAGAGAUAUGGAGGAACACCAGUGGCGAAGGCGACUUUCUGGUCUGUAACUGACGCUGAUGUGCGAAAGCGUGGGGAUCAAACAGGAUUAGAUACCCUGGUAGUCCACGCCGUAAACGAUGAGUGCUAAGUGUUAGGGGGUUUCCGCCCCUUAGUGCUGCAGCUAACGCAUUAAGCACUCCGCCUGGGGAGUACGACCGCAAGGUUGAAACUCAAAGGAAUUGACGGGGACCCGCACAAGCGGUGGAGCAUGUGGUUUAAUUCGAAGCAACGCGAAGAACCUUACCAAAUUUUGACAUCCUUUGACAACUCUAGAGAUAGAGCCUUCCCCUUCGGGGGACAAAGUGACAGGUGGUGCAUGGUUGUCGUCAGCUCGUGUCGUGAGAUGUUGGGUUAAGUCCCGCAACGAGCGCAACCCUUAAGCUUAGUUGCCAUCAUUAAGUUGGGCACUCUAAGUUGACUGCCGGUGACAAACCGGAGGAAGGUGGGGAUGACGUCAAAUCAUCAUGCCCCUUAUGAUUUGGGCUACACACGUGCUACAAUGGACAAUACAAAGGGCAGCGAAACCGCGAGGUCAAGCAAAUCCCAUAAAGUUGUUCUCAGUUCGGAUUGUAGUCUGCAACUCGACUACAUGAAGCUGGAAUCGCUAGUAAUCGUAGAUCAGCAUGCUACGGUGAAUACGUUCCCGGGUCU